GGGAUUGCCUAAACCCCAUGUCGAAAGCUGAUUAAUCUUGAAAGGACAACUGGGGUGACACCGUGUUUGGGGAAAAGCAUACAGACUCCAAGAGGUCUUCUGACAGAUGGUUAUUUCAGGUUUCAGGGUGUCUGAGGACAUGAAUUGGCUUGGCUUCUCAUCUCCACUUCCAGAGCUGCCAGCCUGGGAGAAGGAAAUAAACUGCUGACCUUCAGGAAGUUGGCCAAGCUAAAGUUGACAUUCCUGGACUCUUCGGGGAUUUCAUUAUAGCGAAUGGUCACAUGAGGAAUGAUGGCGAGCAGCAAGGAAUGCAGGGCG